rnacentral:rRNA from 1 species
GACGAACGCUGGCGGCGUGCCUAAUACAUGCAAGUCGAGCGCAGGAAAUCGACGGGACCCUUCGGGGGGAAGUCGACGGAAUGAGCGGCGGACGGGUGAGUAACACGUAAAGAACCUGCCCUCAGGUCUGGGAUAACCACGAGAAAUCGGGGCUAAUACCGGAUGGGUCAUCGGACCGCGUGGUCCGAGGAUGAAAGGCGCUCCGGCGCCGCCUGGGGAUGGCUUUGCGGUGCAUUAGCUAGUUGGUGGGGUAAUGGCCCACCAAGGCGACGAUGCAUAGCCGACCUGAGAGGGUGAGCGGCCACACUGGGACUGAGACACGGCCCAGACUCCUACGGGAGGCAGAAGUAGGGAAUCUUCCACAAUGGACGAAAGUCUGAUGGAGCAACGCCGCGUGAACGAUGAAGGCCUUCGGGUCGUAAAGUUCUGUUGUAAGGGAAGAACAAGUGCCGCAGGCAAUGGCGGCACCUUGACGGUACCUUGCGAGAAAGCCACGGAUAACUACGUGCCAGCAGCCGCGGUAAGAC